GGUCCCUGUUGGGGGUAGGCUUUUCAGUGCUCAAAGCACUGAAAGUUUGCCUUUAAAGUUGCCUCGAGCCUGGUACACUCCAGAAGCUAGGUAGGCUAGCAUUCAAGGGUAGGUAGGACUGGGGAGAGGUUCAGUGGUAUUUUUAUUUAUUGGAUAACCCCGUUGUUAUAGAUUUUUCUCGUGUGUGUGUGUGUGUGUGUGUGUGUGUGUGUGUGUGUGUGUGUGUGUGUGUGUGUGUGUGUGUGUGUUGGGGGAAGGUUCUCGUUUAUUGGUAGCCCUAGGGUAGCUGGCUUGUGUGCUAUUGACUGGUUUUCUUUUUUUUUUUUUUUUUUUUUUAAACUAUGUUUGAAUGUCUACAUUAGAUAUUUCUGUGUUUACGGCUAACCUGUCGCUUGCCCAGCUCGAUGCCUGUAGGAAAAACUAUUUGCAUGAGGUGGCAUCAUUUUACGGGAUUGGGGUCUCCAUAGUUCUGCAUAAAGCUGAGCUAAAAGCUGCUCUGGUGUCUGGCUUGGUGGAUAAGGGGAUAUUGGCCUUGCAAAUGUCUCCCAGUCCACCUGAGUUGGCUGAGCAUGGUGUAGCAUCUUAGCAUGUUCCCCUGUUGCCAGAUCAAAAUAUAGCACUGUAUGUGUCCACGCCUCUUGCUCAGGGACUGCCUGAGGAGACUGCCAAUGACACUGCCUCAUUUUGAGCCACUCUCGAUAGUCCUUAGGUUCAAAGCAGGAUGCUAGGCUACGAGUUCAUCUGGCUCAUCUCCAGCUGGAGAGAGAGAAAUGCGAAAGAGUUUCAUCUGAAGGAGGAGCUAGAACUUAUGGGCGGAGCUGGCCAGAGCCAGGGAGAUUGAGCUGAAAAAUGUGAAAGCAGAGACAACUGUCAAGUUGUGACAUUUAGAACUCCAACAAGUUUCCCUUCUUACGACUGCCUGCAUUCCACAGCCAGGGGCAGGGUUUGAUGUAGGAAAAAGGCUCUGGUGACUCUGGAGACUCUUGAGUCUAGAAAAGGAGCUGUUGGACAGAAAGAUGUCAACUGAGUGGGUACCAGCAGGUUUUGUCUACGUGUCUAUGUCCCACUGGGAGGAGUUCCCCUGGAUAAGCUGGAGGUGGUGGCUGGGCAGAGGGAGUUCCGGGGUGCUCUGCUUAGGAUCCUGCCUCUGGGACCCAACUGCAGAUAAAUGGAAGAAAAUGGAUGGAUGUUUUGUAACAGUGCAAUGAUUCAGCUUGAUUGUCUAUCUUGAGGAUACCAGGAGAGACGAGCCCUCCAUCACAGAUGGUGUUCAGUGAAGAAAGUCACCUGCAAAUUCAAGACCAUUGCAUCUCCAUCCCACAUUCACUGCCACUGUACAUAAGGGAAGUUGAACUUUCUGCGAUCACUGCAUUUUCAUUACCUUAAUCCAUGACAGUCUUUCAGGCUGUAAUGCCUGGACUGAGCAGAACUGCUUAAACUUGGGUUCAAAAUAAUUCAAUCUGAGACUUUGGUUUUGUUUUUUUGUAAGGUUAUUAAAGUUUUAAAUUGUUUAACAAAUAUGAAAAUUUAAUUUGAUAAGGAUCCCUCCUGGGUGAGGUGUUCCGGGCAUGUCCCAGGACACGCUGAAGAGAUUAGAUCUCUCGGCUGGCCUGGGAACGCCUUGGUGUUGCCCCGGAUAAGCUGGAGAAGGUGGCUGGGGAGAGGGAGGUCUGGGCUUCUCUGCUUAGGCUGCUGCCCCUGCGACCCGGCCCCGGAUAAAGCGGAUGAAGAUGGAUGGAUAGAUGGAAUUUGAUAAUAUUUGAAGUAUAAUUAAAUAACACAAGCUACAAUAGUGGGAAUAUACUUGUUUGUCAUUAAUGUGUCCAGUAUGUUGACUAAUAAAUAUUUUUUGCAUUUGAAAAUAAAAGUUGGUCUGAUUUCAACUGCAUUACAAAAUGUCUUUAAUUUCGAGGAUAAUAAAACAUAAUGUGAUCUAGUUGCAUUCGAUUUCUAUGUGGAUAGGUUUCAUUCAGAAAAAUCUAAUUAUUCUAAGUACUGGGUACUCCAUGAAUAAAUUGUCCUAGCUUGGUUAUCAAGUUUUACUUGUGGGUUUUUGUUUGGUUUUUUUUGUUUUGAGGCAAUGAGUUUGCAUAAUUUAAGUUCUAGGAACUAAUUUGGUUGUACAGUAUGUUAACAUUGUUCUCACCAAUGGAUGACACCAAUACUAGUGUUUGCAUGAAGGAGAAAUUGUAAUUCAACCACAUUGGAGGAUGAUGAGAAAUUGUGAGGAAC
ensembl:lncRNA